AGAGUUCCUCUGACCACUUCAGUGGGGCUUUUUAUGACCCUUCAGCUUCAUUCUUUUAGUGUAGCUAUCCGUCUGAAGUGUUUGGAGGAACUCUCGAUGGCAUCCGACGCUUCAUUCUUUUCGAUCUUCUUUUCAUCUCAACUUUUCUCAAAUAGCAGGUGCAUGAAGGGGACACGCAAAGUUAUGUGGAUGGGCUAUGGCGGUCAAAAUAUUACAAAAUAUCCUUGGAUUUCUGAAUCAUGUACAAAUUAAGUGUGAUGGAAAUAUGGAAUAAUGGUUUUGCAGUAUGUUGGAAAUAUGGAAUAAUGGUUUUACAGUAUGUUGGAAAUAUGAAAUAUUUUUGUUCAAUCAGUGAACCAAAAUAUUUGCAUAAUAUAUGCAAAUCCUUCUCUUAACUAGUCUUCCUUUUCUGUAUCUAAGAUAAAUCACACACUCACUAAAAUGGGAGCUAGGUUGUCAUGGUAAUGUAAAGUGUAUUUUGAAAAUUCACCCUUUUGUUGUCACAUGUAUUCUUGUUUUGCUAGUGUGAUAUGCAAUGAAAACAUAUAAAUUUAAACUUUCAAUUUCCUAAAUUUACAUGGUAUUAAAGUAGGUUGGAAUUAAUUUAGUUCAAUCCUAAAAAGUGUGGGAGUGGUAGAAUGUCAAUAGAAAUGUCAACCCUAACCAAAGUGAGCACAAAAUAUCAAUAAAUAAAACUAGAAAUUUGGGUUUGUGAGUGAAACACUGUUGGAACUACUUGUUGUGGAUCCAAAAGAACACUAGAUCACUUGCAAUUCAAUGAUAAUGUCAUGAAUUUUGAACUCACUUAAUGAGUUGUUUCACAAAAGCAUUGUGUACCAUGACAUAAUCCACAAAAUGUGGAAAGAUCUUGAAUAAUGUUAUUCCUAGGGAAGUGGACUCCACAUCUAAGAAACCAAGAGAAAUGGCGAAUGCAUGACAAGGGGACUUACGCAUAUCAAACUACAAUGCCAAAUUACAUGAAGGGACUUUGGGAACGUUUGGUGGCUUUGUGAAACCACACAAAAUAGGUUGUAUAGGAUGCACUUGUGGAGUCUUUGCAAAGGAGAAUAAGGAAGAAAGGCUUCAUUAGUUCUUCGUGGGACUAAAUGAG